UACGUAGGGGGCGAGCGUUAUCCGGAUUCAUUGGGCGUAAAGCGCGCGUAGGCGGCCCGCUAAGCGGGACCUCUAACCUGGGGCUCAACCUCGGGCCGGGUUCCGGACUGGGCGGCUCGAGUGCGGUAGAGGAGAGCGGAAUUCCCGGUGUAGCGGUGGAGUGCGCAGAUAUCGGGAAGAACACCGAUGGCGAAGGCAGCUCUCUGGGCCGUCACUGACGCUGAGGCGCGAAAGCUGGGGGAGCGAACAGG
rnacentral:rRNA from 1 species